ensembl:lncRNA
UGCAGCUCCCAAAGGAUAAAGGAGGGUGGGCUCUUCCCUCAUUAAAAGAUUAUUAUACAGCAGCGCAAAUUAGGACAGUGGUGAAUUGGUGUGACCCACAUUAUAAUGCUCCUUGGAAGGAUAUGGAAAACUAUACUACAAAGAAUAUCCCUGUACAAGCAAUAUUAGCAGAUAAUAAUUUAAGACAAUAUAUAGAUACGCUAGAAGACCCAUGGACAAAGCUUACUUUAAAUGUUUGGGCAUCUGUGAUAAAAGAAUUUAAAUUAUUGGAAUAUACUUCCAUUCUUAAAUGGAUUGCUUAUGAUUCAGACUUCACUCCAAAUCAGUCGGAUAAUAGAUUCAAGUUGUGGACAAAUAAGGGAAUAACUUCUUUUUGCACAAUCAUUGAGAAAGGUGUAAUUCUAAGCUUUCAAGUAUUGAAGGAAAAGAUCUCAUUAGAAAAUCAGGAUUUUUACAGAUAUCUUCAGGCUCGAAGUUAUUAUGAUAAAAAAAUAAAAGGGAAAUUUAAAGAUAAUCUUAAUCCACUAAUAGAAUUGCUUAAAAAAGCAUAUACAUCAGGUAUUAGAUAUAAGAUAGUCUCUCAGAUAUACAAGAGCUUAAUAAAUAUGAAAAAACACUCUACAAAUUAUAUAAAAAAGAAAUGGAUGACAGAAAGUGGAAUAUUUUUUUCUGAUGAAGAAUGGUCAACUGUAUGGAAAUUUCAGUGGAAAUCAACUAGGUCACUAAAUUGGAAGGAGUAUUGUUGGAAAAACAUUAUUAGAUAUUUUAUAACACCAAUACAAACAGCCAAAUACAGUAAUAACACUUCAAAAUGUUGGCGAAACUGUGGAUGCAAUGAAGCAAACCAUUAUCAUAUAUUUUGGGAAUGCCUACAUAUUCAGGAAUAUUGGAAAGAAUUACAGGAUGCUCUUGAACAUAUUUUUAGAAGAGACAUACCUCUAGAAUUCAAACUACUGUAUUUUGGUUGUGCUAGCUUAGAAACUAUUGCAGCAGAUAACAAAUAUCUGAUGGGCG